rnacentral:rRNA from 1 species
UGCCAGCAGCCGCGGUAAUACGUAUGGUGCAAGCGUUAUCCGGAAUCACUGGGCGUAAAGGGCGUGUAGGCGGCUUGGCAGGUCAAAGGUGAAAUCCCUCGGCUCAACCGAGGAACUGCCUUUGAAACCGCCUGGCUAGAGGCCGGGAGAGGGUAGUGGAAUUCCCAGUGUAGCGGUGAAAUGCGUAGAUAUUGGGAGGAACACCAGUGGCGAAGGCGACUACCUGGACCGGUUCUGACGCUGAGGCGCGAAAGCGUAGGGAGCAAACAGGAUUAGAUA